rnacentral:rRNA from 1 species
UGCGUAGGUGGCGAGCGUUGUCCGGAUUUACUGGGCGUAAAGGGAGCGUAGGCGGACUUUUAAGUGAGAUGUGAAAUACUCGGGCUCAACUUGAGUGCUGCAUUUCAAACUGGAAGUCUAGAGUGCAGGAGAGGAGAAUGGAAUUCCUAGUGUAGCGGUGAAAUGCGUAGAGAUUAGGAAGAACACCAGUGGCGAAGGCGAUUCUCUGGACUGUAACUGACGCUGAGGCUCGAAAGCGUGGGGAGCAAACAGG